rnacentral:rRNA from 3 species
GGAGCCGUAGCGAAAGCGAGUCUGAAUAGGGCGCAUAAGUAACAGGUCGUAGACCCGAAACCAGGUGAUCUACCCAUGUCCAGGAUGAAGGUAAGGUAAUACUUACUGGAGGUCCGAACCCACGCACGUUGAAAAGUGCGGGGAUGAGGUGUGGGUAGCGGAGAAAUUCCAAUCGAACUUGGAGAUAGCUGGUUCUCUCCGAAAUAGCUUUAGGGCUAGCCUCGAGGUAAAGAGUCAUGGAGGUAGAGCACUGUUUGGACUAGGGGCCCUUCUCGGGUUACCGAAUUCAGAUAAACUCCGAAUGCCAUGUACUUAUACUCGGGAGUCAGACUGCGAGUGAUAAGAUCCGUAGUCGAAAGGGAAACAGCCCAGACCACCAGUUAAGGUCCCCAAAUAUAUGUUAAGUGGAAAAGGAUGUGGGGUUGCUUAGACAACCAGGAUGUUGGCUUAGAAGCAGCCACCAUUGAAAGAGUGCGUAAUAGCUCACUGGUCGAGUGACCCCGCGCCGAAAAUGUACCGGGGCUAAACAUAUUACCGAAACUGUGGAUGAACCUCUUUAGAGGUUCGUGGUAGGAGAGCGUUCUAAGGGCGGUGAAGUCAGACCGGAAGGACUGGUGGAGCGCUUAGAAGUGAGAAUGCCGGUAUGAGUAGCGAAAGAAGGGUGAGAAUCCCUUCCACCGAAUAUCUAAGGUUUCCUGAGGAAGGCUCGUCCGCUCAGGGUUAGUCGGGACCUAAGCCGAGGCCGAUAGGCGUAGGCGAUGGACAACAGGUAGAGAUUCCUGUACCAGUGCUAAUUGUUUAACCGAUGGGGUGACACAGAAGGAUAGGGAAUCGCACGAAUGGAAAUGUGCGUCCAAGCAGUGAGUGUGAGAAGUAGGCAAAUCCGCUUCUCGCGAAGCAUGAGCUGUGAUGGGGAAGGAAAUUAAGUACGGAAGUUCCUGAUUUCACGCUGUCAAGAAAAGCCUCUAGGAAGAGUAGUACUGCCCGUACCGCAAACCGACACAGGUAGAUGAGGAGAGAAUCCUAAGGUGAGCGAGAGAACUCUCGUUAAGGAACUCGGCAAAAUGACCCCGUAACUUCGGGAGAAGGGGUGCUCUAUUAGGGUGCAAGCCCGAGAGAGCCGCAGUGAAUAGGCCCAGGCGACUGUUUAGCAAAAACACAGGUCUCUGCAAAACCGUAAGGUGACGUAUAGGGGCUGACGCCUGCCCGGUGCUGGAAGGUUAAGAGGAGUGCUUAGCUUCGGCGAAGGUACGAAUUGAAGCCCCAGUAAACGGCGGCCGUAACUAUAACGGUCCUAAGGUAGCGAAAUUCCUUGUCGGGUAAGUUCCGACCCGCACGAAAGGCGCAACGAUCUGGGCACUGUCUCAACGAGAGACUCGGUGAAAUUAUAGUACCUGUGAAGAUGCAGGUUACCCGCGACAGGACGGAAAGACCCCGUGGAGCUUUACUGCAACCUGAUAUGGAAUGUUUGUACCGCUUGUACAGGAUAGGUAGGAGCCGAAGAGACGUGUGCGCUAGCAUACGAGGAGGCAAUGGUGGGAUACUACCCUGGCUGUAUGACCAUUCUAACCCGCCACGCUUAGCGCGUGGGGAGACAGUGUCAGGUGGGCAGUUUGACUGGGGCGGUCGCCUCCUAAAGAGUAACGGAGGCGCCCAAAGGUUCCCUCAGAAUGGAUGGAAAUCAUUCGCAGAGUGUAAAGGCACAAGGGAGCUUGACUGCGAGACUGACAAGUCGAGCAGGGACGAAAGUCGGGCUUAGUGAUCCGGUGGUUCCGCAUGGAAGGGCCAUCGCUCAACGGAUAAAAGCUACCCCGGGGAUAACAGGCUUAUCUCCCCCAAGAGUCCACAUCGACGGGGAGGUUUGGCACCUCGAUGUCGGCUCGUCGCAUCCUGGGGCUGUAGUCGGUCCCAAGGGUUGGGCUGUUCGCCCAUUAAAGCGGCACGCGAGCUGGGUUCAGAACGUCGUGAGACAGUUCGGUCCCUAUCCGUCGCGGGCGCAGGAAAUUUGAGAGGAGCUGUCCUUAGUACGAGAGGACCGGGAUGGACACACCGCUGGUGUACCAGUUGUUCCGCCAGGAGCAUCGCUGGGUAGCUAUGUGUGGCAGGGAUAAACGCUGAAAGCAUCUAAGCGUGAAGCCCCCCUCAAGAUGAGAUUUCCCAUUUCUUCGGAAAGUAAGAUCCCUGAAAGAUGAUCAGGUAGAUAGGUUUGGAGUGGAAGUGUAGCGAUACAUGGAGCGGACAAAUACUAAUCGAUCGAGGACUUAACCAA